GAGUUUGAUUCUGGCUCAGGAUUAACGCUGGCGGCGUGCGUAACACAUGCAAGUCGAACGGUAUUUUGAAAGGAAAAGGCUUCGGUCUUGGAAAGUCAAGAGAGAGUGGCGAACGGGUGAGUAACGCGUGAGCAACCUGCCUUCCACAAAGGGAUAGCUGCCGGAAACGGUAAUUAAUACCAUAUGAAGUUAACGAAUCGCAUGAUAAGGUAACUAAAGAGAAAUCGGUGGAAGAUGGGCUCGCGUCCGAUUAGCUGGUUGGAGAGAUAACAGCUCACCAAGGCAAUGAUCGGUAGCCGGCUUGAGAGAGUGAACGGCCACACUGGAACUGAGAGACGGUCCAGACUCCUACGGGAGGCAGCAGUGGGGAAUUUUGCACAAUGGGGGGAACCCUGAUGCAGCGACGCCGCGUGAGCGAAGAAGGAAUUCGUUUCGUAAAGCUCUGUCCUAUGGAAAGAUAAUGACGUACCAUAGGAGGAGCCCCG
rnacentral:rRNA from 1 species